GGAGGGGUCAUAGCUCAGUGGUAGAGCAUCUGCCUUGUAAGCAGAAGGUCCCAGGUUCAAUCCCUGGCAUCUCCA